AAUAAUCCCCCUUUUUUCAUUCUCUCACUUUUCCCCUUUCCUUUUAUUAGAUUAUUUCUCUCGAUUUUCUUCCCCUUUCCUUCUAGGUUUUGCGUCCACCACCACCACCACCACCACCACCACCACCGUAGAUUUCCCUUCUAGAUUUCACUUUUUUCAAUCGCCGUGGUCUUCAGUGUCUCAGAUCCACGAUUAAUCAAAUUUCCGACCUCCCAGGCGAUUUAGGUACGCGACUGGAUAAUUUUGCGGAAUUCGGACUGGAUUUCUCGUUUCAAUUGCAGCUGUUCGGCUUCGAGUUCGGAUUUUUCAUUUUCUCGUUCGUGAAGAACUUUUGGCUUUUUAGAUUAAAAGGUUGAGGGAGAUACAAUGCCAACUUGAUAUCCGACUUAAUUUUGCCGUAGAGGCCUCACUCAAGGUAAUACAAUUUCAACCAUUCUUAUACAAUCUUCGUAGAUAGUACAUGAAAUUUCAGCAAUUUCAACCAUAUUUGAAAUCUAAAAUUGUGUGUUUCAUAUUUUUAGAAUUUAGUUUUACGUCUGUCUGCAGAGCCACCUUCUUCUAAACAACUUGAAAACAGUUGGUUAACAAUUUUAUCUGAUCUUACUUCUGUUAUUUGUUUUGGCACAUAAUCGUGUGUUUGCAUGAACUAAUCAUAAUUUAAGUCGAAAUAUGGAGGUUUCAGAUUUGUUUUCAGAGAAAUGCACUAACGAAGCCCCUCGAAAAAGUAACAGAAGAGAGAAAGACGGGACAAAUGAUCCAUUGUGCUUUCCCAGCUGAGUAUUUAUCAUAAUUGCCAUUUAAUCAAUCUGUGGUCAAGCUUUAUAUUUUAUUGCAUCUAUAUUUGUAUGUUUCUUUCACUUAAUUUAGGUAACAUGUAUUGCGUAUUUCUUCUCGGCCACCGGCUACUGUGAUCACCGCAUCCGAAGUGCUGAAACCAGAGCAUCGCUCUCCCUGUAUGGCGUCAUACUGCCGGAAACUCUCAAGUCCUCUACUCUCCGGCGUCUCGGAUUUCCCGAUGCCGCCGCAUUGCGUGCUAAGGAUCUUGAUUGUGCUGAUGCCCCGUCGACUUUUCUAAAUUACAUCUCUGCCUUCGCUGAUGAACUCAAAUAAUAAUGCUGAUGGCACCAUGUUACAUGCCUUUGAAGACUGAAGUUGGCUGGUAUCGUGUUUUUAUGAAUGUUAAUGAUCAGUGUUUUUAUUUACCUUUUGAAUAGAUGAGUUUAAUUCCAAAGCUACGCCAUCCGUAUAUAGUUGAAUAUAAAGAUGCUUGGGUCGACAAGAUUUGAAAGUGCAAAGACGGUUGUGAGGAGGAAGUAUAUUGCUCCACUGAAGGAAGGAGGGUGUCUAUAUAUUAUGUAGUUUAUUUUUUAAUGUAAAUUCCAAUUUGAUUUUAUUGACUCAUGUAUUUUGUAUGUGUAAUUGUACGAUAUAUUCCAAUACAAUUUUAUUUUCAAAAUUAUUGUUUAGUUUUGC